UACGGGGGGGGCAAGCGUUGUUCGGAAUUACUGGGCGUAAAGGGCUCGUAGGCGGUUUGUCGCGUCGGGAGUGAAAACCUCGGGCUUAACUCGGGGCUUGCUUUCGAUACGGGCAGACUAGAGGUAUGCAGGGGAGAACGGAAUUCCUGGUGUAGCGGUGAAAUGCGCAGAUAUCAGGAGGAACACCGGUGGCGAAGGCGGUUCUCUGGGUAUGAUCUGACGCUGAGGAGCGAAAGUGUGGGGAGCGAACGGG
rnacentral:rRNA from 1 species